UUUACCUUUAUAUCUAGUUAUUCCAUAAAUUAUUAGGCUAAUUAUAUGGAAGCCAUAGAAUUUAUCUCAAAUAUGGACCAAAUAAAGUGAAUCCCAAUGUUCCGUCAAAUUUUGACGCGUGAUGUGAUAAGACAUCAUAACGUGACAGCUGACAAGUCACUUGAUGUGAUAUGAUGGGGCAUGAUGUGACAUGGCAUCUUUUACAUUUGAACCACGUUACAUUUAACCUUUAUAUCACAAAAAGACGAGGACCACAUAUUUUAAUUUGUACAAUUUUUUUAUAAUUUCGUGAAAAAAAUCCAAAACCUAAAAUCCCUAACCCUCACCCCCACAUUUUCGCUCUAAUAGCCGCCCCCCUUUUUGUACCCAUCUGAUUUCUCUCAUUUGAGAGAAAAGGCAGUCGCCAACCCUUGGCUCUCGUCUCUCCCGUUUGAAGUCGCCGGCUGAAACGCCGGUCAACCACCUGCUCCAUCGCUGCUCUCAUCCCCAUUUCCAUCUAACACUUCCCUUUCACUUUCACCACCAAGCCGCCGCGAUUUUCACUGCUUAAUGGAGUCGCCGCCGUAUUUGACCACCGGCCGGUGACUGUGUUGUCACCAUUACCUUCGUCUGCUUUGCUUCUAUGUUGGGCAUGCUCAGAUCUAACAAGAUCGGGAUUUAUUUUGUGACGUUUUGUGCCGAGUUUGGCCGGAAUAAUAUUUUCGGCGACACCUUUGUGUGUCGUUUUGUCUGUUGCUCCGGUGUCGUCAUCGUCGUGGUAGUAGCGUCAAUGGACGAUUCAUGGGUUUGAGUUCCAUUUUGAUUCUUCGGCCACCUCUGUCGGAGAUGGUACAAACUCCGGUGAACUAAUUUUGUUUCCGGCGACCCUUGGUUAAAAAUGAUACACUUUGUUUCUCUCUUGUUUGGGUACUGCUUUGUUGCCUCUGAUGUUGAUACGGUUGGAAAAAUAAAAUUCCGGCGACGUUUGGGUUUCGCGGCUACUUGUUCUUGCUCCUCCGUCCAACAGUUUGGAGGUCUUCGACUAUUAUCUCUUUGAGACCAUGUUUUGAACUCUUUUGCUUUUCUGUUUCGUUGUUAUAUCACUGCCAGUAAAGUGUUAAUCACAGGUUGAUUUUGGGUUGAUUUCACAUUACAUUUUGCUGUUUGUUUCGUUCGUGUGGCUGUUGCUUAAUUGGAAAUCCGGUUCCGACACCACCUUGGACUGUGUGGCUUCGAAAAUUCUAUUUGGUUUCACCCACGUUUGGCUUCAUAGUUUGGUGUUAAUUGUCGUGACCCUCGUUAUGUUGUGAUAUUUUGCUUUGGAUAGAUUUUACUGAAUGCACAUUGAUGGGGUUGUGACGCCUAAGUUUAUUGUCUCGUAUUAAUUGAUUAAGAAGAGAAAUACUAUUAGCUACCGGCGCAACCGAGGAGGUUCCAAUUCUCAUGUUUAGAUGGAUAUUACAUAUAUCUGAACCUUAUAUAUUAUUUUUUAAACUAUUUUUCAAAAUUAUAUUUCAAAACUAUUUUUUUUAAUAAAACAAUUUCUUUAAAGCAUUUUCAAACUAUUUUCAGAAACAUUCUUCCAAAAACAUUUUCAAAUAAAAUCAUUUCAAAAUGACGAAAGUUGAAAUUUUGGAAAGUUUGACCGGGAGUGGAAUUUUUAAUAUCGGUGUCGGAUUCGGAUUCCGAAAGUUGGAGCAGGUCCGUAAUGUCGAAUCUGACUUGUGUGCAAAAUAUGAGGUCAAUCGAACGUGAUUUGAUAGGUCUUAACAUCGGUUGUGGAAGUUGAAGUUUCAAAGUUCAUUUUUAAAGAGGAAAUUGGGGUUUGGAUUUAAAAAUUCAUAAUAUGAAUUUUUAAGCUUUGAACAUCGAAUUGGAGUCGGAUUUGAGUGAAAUUAGUGUGGUUGGACUCAUAAUUGAAUGGGUUGUCGGUUUUUGUAAAUUUUGUCGGGUUUUGAGGUGCGGGCCCGGAUUGGGCUUUCGGCCGAUUUGGGCUUUUGAUUCAAGAUUUGAUCUUUUUCGAUCGGGAUUGGUUCCUUUAGCAAUGUUUGAUGUAUUUGAGUUAUUUUUGGUUAGUUUCGAGUCGUUCGGAGGUCGGAACGCACGUGAUGUCAUUUUGGAGCAUCGCUUGGCUUGCUCGGUGUUGGAAUUAGCUUGUUCGAGGUAAGUAACUCUUCUAAUCUUAGUGCUGAGGGUAUGGAACCUCGAAAUACCUGUUAUGUGAUUGGUAUUGAGGUGACACACAUGCUAGGUGAUGGGCGUGUGAGCGUGCACUAUGUGAAUUGGGACUCUAUUGUUUCCAUGGCACUGUAUAGUGGUCCUACUUUGUUGAUAUCUGUGUUUUCACCAUGUGAUAAAGUAGUUAAGCUGUCAAUCGUGCUAGAUACCAUGUUUAGGCAUUAUGCCGAUAUUAUUUGGACCCAUAGUGGUCGUUUCUUACUGUCAUCUCACUGAUUUCAUUGAUAUUUCAUACUCAGUCAUAUUCAUGCAUUCAUAUCAUAUCUUAGUCUCAAUUAUUUAUCGAUACAUCAUAUCAUUGUUGUCGGGCUAGUUUCAUGACAUUGUGAGCCCGUGAGUGAGACUGGAGAGAUUGAUGACUGAGUGAGGCCGGGGGCCUGUUUGUGAGGAUGUUGUCACAAUAGCACAUGAGUUGUCCGUGCGAUUCCAGAUGUUGAUAUUAUAGCACGUGAGUUAUCCGUGCGGUACGUGAGUUGUCCAUGCGAUUCCAGAUAUUGAUAUUAUGGCACGUGAGUUGUCCGUGCGGAUUAUAGCGCUUGGGCUGAAAGGAGCCCUUCCAGGAGUCUGCACACCCCAAUGAGCGUAGUCAACUAUAAACAGGGAUCGGGCUGCUCGCCGUAGCGAAUAUUGUACAACGCUGAGUGAUUAAGUGUGUUGAGCAUAGAGAGAGAGAGAGAAUGCGAGACAAUGAGAUUGAGUACUCUGAGAGUGUGAGUACAUGAGAUCAUCAUCGAGAUGCAUUGCAUUUGACAUGCGUACUUGAGUUACAUGCAUAAAGGUGCAUUUUCUUCUGCAUACCCAGUUUUGGGGACAUUUAUGAUUUUACCCGUAUCUUGACAUGUAGGCAUAGAGAAGUACCUUCCUCAUGCUAUCUGGAAAUGAAACAUCUUACUAUUUGUCGAAAGGAGGUUUUGGAAAAAAUCACAGUUUUCAAACUUACUCGUAUUUUGGCUUUUUCGGUUAAAGAUUUGGAUUUUCACUGAGAUAUUUGAAAAGAAAUGCCUAUUUUUCGGGAACUGUGAACUGACCGAGCCUUUUAUUUUUGAGAUACUCUUUUGUUACGUGUACUAUGCUGUUAUGAACUGUUGUGGAAUAUUGGUAUUGUCCCCGACCUUUCUGUUAGCUCGUCACUACUUUCAACCUAAGGUUAGGUUUGUUACUUAUUGAGUACAUGUGGUCGGUUGUACUCAUACUACACUUCUGCACCUUGCGUGUAUAUGUUGGUUGUUGUUGUUAUGUUCGAUGGGAGCUGGAUUGAAGAUGUACCUGCGUCCCGGCUGUAGCUGCCUCUUGUUCGUGGUAGCUUUAGAUCAGUAAAACUCUGUUUAUGCACUAUUCAAACAGACGAUGUAUUUAUUUCAUUUAUGCUUUGUAAACUCUAUUCUUAGAAGCUCAUGAUUUGUACUACCAGUUCUUGAGAAAUGUAUUAGAUUCAGAUAUUUCUUUUGAAUAAUUGUCUUAUUAAUAUUAUUGGAAAUUGGAUAGUUGUUAAUUGGCUUACCUAGAGGGAUGUGUUAGGUGCCAUCACGACUAGUUGGAUUUUGGGCCGUGACAGCAAGGCAGCAAGAACACUAUAAAUAUCGCCCAAACGAAUAAUGGACACAAGCACAACCAAUUAAUCAAGUCCUUCAAAAUAUACAUCUUUUAUCUACAAGUGUUUCGAAUAGAAAUGUUUAGAAUAUAAUCCUUUCAAGUAAAUAUCUUACGAAUAUAAUUCUUUCAAAUAAAUAUUAUUCGAAUAUAAUUCUUUCAAAUAAAUAUCUUUCGGAUAUAAUUCCUUCAAAUAAAUAUCUUUCGAAUAUAACCCUUACAAAUAAAUAUCUUCCGAAUAUAAUUCUUAAAGCAAAUACCUUUCGAAAAUAAUUCUUCAAAUAAAAUCUUUCAAAUAUAAUUCUUCAAAUAAACUCUUUCGAAUAUAAUCCUUUCAAAUAAAAUAUCUUUCGAAUGUAAUUCUUUUAAAUAAAACCUUUCGAACAUAAUUCUUUCACAUAAAAUGUUUCGAAUAAAAUCUUUCAAAUAUAAUUUCUUUCAAGUAAAAAUGCUUCAGAUAUAAUUCCUUCAAAUAAAAUCUUUCGAAUAUAAUUUCUUUCAAGUAAAAUCACCGGUUGACACCUCAUUUCAUAAUCCUAAAAAUCUCGGCUCUCAGCCCACUUUCAUAUCUCACGGCACCUCGUGCCCAUAUUUCUAUCACAGUCGUAUGGGCAAUUCACAAGACAGAAGACAUAAUAAUUUAAUGAAAUGACUGAGGAGUGAAUGACGAGAAAUGUUCAGAAAAGUAACAGCACAACAAAUAGAGGUAAACAAGAGGAGCACUCCCGAAGUAUCGCCUUGUAGAACCAAAUGUAAAUGCUCAGCAGGGAGAUCUCUCGAGGUACCGCCUCGUAGUCCCAAAAGUAAUAUGCAAGCAAGAGGAUCUCCCGAGGUACCGCCUCUUAGUCCCAAAGUAAAUAUGAAAGCAGGGGGAUCUUUCGAGGUAUCGGCUCGUAGUCUCAAAGUAAAUAUGCAAGCAGGGGGAUCUCUCGAGGUACCGCCUCGUAGUCCCAAAGUAAAUAUGCAAGAAAUGGGAUCUCUCGAGAUACCGCCUCAUAGUCCCAAAGUAAAUAUGCAAGCAGGGGGAUCACCCGAGGUACUGACUCGUAGUCCCAAAAUAAAUAUACAAAAUCAAAGUCGGAAGAAUAACUCAGCAAGAACAACCUCUUCUUAAAUCGAAAUUUCUGAUAAAUAUAUUAACGUCGCCAUUUAAACUUGUUUAAUAAUUAUUUGCAGAUGGAAAAUCCAGGAUAUAAUUAUUUUCAGAAAAUGUCAACUUAACUAGCACACGGAAUCCACAUAAAGAUCAAAGUAGCAAUCACACCAAAUUAUCAUAUAAAAAAAAUUCGACAAACAAAAAACGAGGCAUGACAAAUAAGGAUUUAAUAAGUGCGAGCAAAUUUCCAAUUUAACACUUAAAAAAUUCCUACGACUUUAAACCAAUAGAAUUUGCACAUAUAAGCUUGAGUAUGUACUCGUCACCUCGCGUACACGGCUUUCAAAAUAUACAAAUGAAACAUACGACUCAAUGCCCAAGGGGGGUAAUUCCCCCACUCAAGGUUAGACAAGAUAUUUACCUCUUUGAAGCUAGACCGAUAUUCCAAAAUAGUCUUCUUCCUUGAAUUGACCUCCGGACAACUCAAAUCUAUCCAAAUUAAUUGUAUAACUUUAUUAAAAUUCAUCAAAAAUAAUUCCGGACAAUAUAACGCCGACUUAAAAUUUUACAUUAAAAAGUCAACAAAAAGUCAACACGGGGCCCGCCUUUCGGAACCCAACAGAAGUUUUACGAAAUCCGAACAUACAUUCCGAUACGAGUCCAACCAUACUAAUUUUAUCAAAUUCCGAUAACAACUUGACCUCUAAUCUUAAAUUUAUGUUUUUUGAAAUAUUUUGUAAAAAUCCCAAUUUCUUCCAUUAAAACUCGAAUUAAACGAUGAAUAUAACCAUGGAUUUAUGAAAUAAAAUCACUUUCGGAUAUAGAACACUUACCCCAGUCGAAGUCAUGACGAAUUCCUCAAAAUCGCCCAAGAACCGAGCUAUACAAUUCCCAAUUGAAAAUGAAGAAAUGACCAUUUUUGGUCCUUAUGAUUCUGCCCGGUUUCCUCUUUUGCGGGCCAAUUUGCAUUUCUGCAAAGCCGUUUUUGCGAGACCAGUCUCACUUCUAUGAAAUUGCACCGACCAGAGGCACUCGCACAUAUGGAGUUUGCUUUGCUUCUGCGCAAUCGCAGAAGCGAUGAACAUUUGCGCAUCUGCGAAGCUUCUCGCUUCUGCACUCCAGGUAUGAUCGCAGGCGCGGGAAAUUCUUUGCACCUACGACCUUAGUCCAACCCAUCCAUCCACGCUUCUAUGAUGCAAGGCGUCACUUCUGCGAUCCAACCUCCGCAGAAGCAUAUGCACCAGCAAUCAAAAUUCCAGCAGCUCCAAUUAUCCAAAAAUCGUUCCGUUAAUCAUCCGAAAUCCACCUGAGGCCCCCGGGACAUUAACCAAAUAUACCAACACGUCCUAAAAUACAAUACGAACUUAGUCGAGACCUCAAAUUACAUUAAACAAUGUCUAAACUAUGAAUCGCACCUCGAACCGAAUUAUGAGUUUUCAAAUCGUCCAACUUCUAUAAUUUGCGCCGAAACGUACCAAAUCAAUCCGGAAUGACCCUAAAUUUUGAACACGAGUCAUAAAUUACAUAAUGGACUUGUUCCCAUUUCCAGAGUUGAAUUUCGAACCCGAUAUCAAUAACGUCAACUCCCGGUCAAACAUUCUAAAUUUUUUCCAUUUUUCAACUUUCGCCAAAAUGUGUCGAAUUUUCCAACGGACUUCCAAAUCCAAAUCCGGACAUAUGCCUAAGUUCGAAAUCACUAUACGAAGCUAUUGACAUCAUCAAAAUUUCAUUCCGGAGUCGUUUACUUAAAAGUCAAACUCUCGUCAGCUCUUUUCAUUUAAGCUUCAAAAAUAAUUAUUAUUCUUUUAUUUUAAUUCCGAAUCUUUCGAAAAUCAAACUCGACCACAAACGCGGGUCAUAAUACAUAUUACGAAGUUGCUCGGGGCCUUAAGUCGCUGAACGGAACGUUAAUUCUCAAAAUGAUAAGUUGGGUCGUUACAUUCUCCCCCUCUUAAAACAUACGUUUGUCCUCGAACGUGCCAAGAAUUAUUUUGAGGACAUUAAAUUACUGAGUCUAUUAUUACACACCUAUUCGCGGUGAUUUCACAUCACCAAAAUUUUAACAUAGUCCGACAAUACCAUAUCAGUUGAGAUUAUUUCCUUUAUCCACAUUUAUAAACUUUAAAACUAAUUUCUUACACUCCAAAUAUUUUCAAAAGGCCUGAUUUUCAAAUCAAAAAACGGUAUUAGUCUCAACCGGCGAUAGCAACUCGUGCCUAUGCAUUCAUCACACGUAUGCCCAUAACCACACCUCUGGUCAUAAUAGUUGUUCAUAAUUAAUUCCAGCAUCGUCAAUUAACCUCAUAUUAACCAAAACCUUAUUUUAAAUUUUCACAACACUGACAACAAUCGCGAGGCAUGAAGACCUCAUAAUUAUUUACCCGAAUUAACGAGUCACAUUUAACGCCACCUGGGCACACACCUCAUAGGCUAAAACUCAAUAAUUUCAGCACGAAUAUGGCUAAAUAUGUAUAGAAACACAUAAAAGAAUUAUCAAAUAAGCCUAACAGGCAUGACUCCCUAUUAGUACUAUAGUAUAAAUUAAAUUUCACAAAGGGAGAAUUUAAUACAUAUGAAUUUAACCACAAAGAUCUCAUCUUGAUUCAACUUCCACCGCGGCACGUAGCCCGAUUCAAAUAUAUCAAUCUACAUUAAAAAAGCGAGGAUCUCAUCCUCAGCUCUGAAUCACAAGUAUUAUGCACAUCGUGCCAACUGAAAUUUUUCCAUUUCUUUUCUUUCUUUUCUUUCCUUUUUUUUCUUUUUUAAUAAAUUAUGUGAAACAAUUUCACAACACAUAAUGAACCCCCAUACCGGUAGGGCAUAUAAUUCAUUAAAAUUGAAAUCAGUUAUCCCGAAAUUACAUCAAAACCCACUGUAGUGAGUAAUAGAAAUUCACUUUAGACUCAUAGCCCUUAAUAGUGUACAAAAUAAAAUGAUAGACACGGCUAUCGCAAUAAAAUCUCCCAACAGGGGUAAACACAUAAGUAGGUUACAGAAUUACGAAGCUCACCCAUAAGUGGAGUAUAAUAGGAGGACUCGCCUUGAUAAUCAGAACCGAAUCAAACUAAGAAAAAUAUUCCUUUAUAACAAAUCAGGAUCAUACCUAUAAUGACACUAUCUGGUGUAGCAGCCUCGGCCAUACCAUAGUAAUUAUAUCAACGAGUUGGGCCUCCCCCUCUAGGGCGCCCUCUACCCGUCUGUCCUCCACUCUAGACUGGCUGUGCAUGUGGGGUAGUAACUGGAAUAGAGCCAGUAGCUUGUAGCCUGAGUGUUCUGAUGAAAUUCGCCUCUCCCAAGUUUGGGACAAUCUCUUAUGAUGUGCCUAGUAUCAACACACUCAUAACAAUCCCUCUGAGUUCGCGGCUGCUCGUACUGAGUCUGUGCUGGAUAACUGGAAUAACCACUGUAGGAACCUCGUGUCGGUGGUGUACUAAAAGUAUUAACUGGAGUACUAUGAGUACUCUGAAUUGCGGACUGGGCUGUCCGAGCCUCCGCCAUGAUGAGUCAUAGCUGCAGAGUAGAAUCCACUGAACCCUCCAGAGUUCCGAGACCUUUUGGCCUCCUUAGAAUCCUUUUCCUCACUUCGAUCACGUUCUAACAUCCUGGAAAUCUCUACUACUUGUUGAAGUCGAAUGUCAGUCUGCAACUCUCGAGCCAUACAUAUUUUUAAAUCAUAAUCGAUCCCUUCGAUGAAUCUGCGGAUUGCUCUCUAACUGUAGGAACCAAGAUAGGUGCAUGGCGGGCUAACUCACUAAACCUGAUAGCUUAUUCUGACACCGUCAUGGUGUCCUGACGUAUCCAUUCAAACUUUGUGCACCAUGCAUCCCGGAGAGUCUGGGUACAAACUCUUUCAAAAAUAUUUCUGAAAACUGAGACCAAGUUGGUGGUGUUGCAUCGGCUGGUCUGCCCUCUUCAUAAGCUUGCCAUCAUUAAUACGCUGCUCCUGAGAGCUAAAAUGUAGUAAAGUCAACUCCACUCACUUCCACAAUACCCAUGGUGCGGAGAAUACGGUGACACUUUUCUAGAAUCUCUGGGAAUCCUCGGUAAUUAUGCCACUGAAGGUAGGUGGACUAUACCUCUUAAAUCUCUGAAGUCUCUUUUGUUCUUAUUCUGAUGCCUCUAGCCUGAUCUCAGGCUGAACCGGAAUAACAGGUUGUAUCGGCACCACACCCGAAACCUGACCAAUGUGAACUUGUUGCUUUGGAGUACGUGUAGUAGGAGUCUGAACUCCUCCCCCAACCUGUGAAAUAUUUGGUGAAACGGAGAUCAAUCCUGGCUGAGUUAAUGUAUCAAACAUGCUCAAGAAUUGUGCUAAAGUCUCUUGAAGUCCGGGGGGUUACAACAGGUGUCUCGGGUGUCUGUCCCCCAACCGGAUCUACUGGCGGCUCCUCAACUGCUGCUUUGACAAGUGCUCUUGCUGUGGUACAUGCCAUUCCUCGGCAUCGGCCUCUUGCGGCCCUAGCAGGAUGCGCUGGUAUCUUCUCAGCUGACCCAGUAGCACGUGUCCUCACCAUAUGUGAGAGAGUAGAGAUACAAAGACUAUAAUUGCAAAAUCAACAAUUUUCGCACGACAGAAAUGAAAGAAGUAGAAAUUUCCUAAUAGUCCUGUAGCCUCUCGAAGAUAAGUACAGACGUCUCCGUACCGAUCCGCAUGACUCUACUAGACUCAUUCAUGACUCGUAGAACCUAUAAACCUAGAGCUCUAAUACCAACUUGUCACGACCCAAAAUUACACAUGCGUCGUAAUAACACUUAGUCUCUAAGAUUAGGUAAGCCGAUUACAAUUAUAUUUUGAGCCCCCUUUUUUCAAAACAUAUAAUUUAAUACAAGUGACAAAACUAAAAGCGGAACUAUUCAAACAACCUCCCAAGACUGGUACUACUGAGUCACGAACUCUAAUUGUAUAAAUGCAAUGAUCUCAAGGAUCGAAUAUCCAAUACUGUUCGAAUAAGAGUUGACAGUAUAAUAAAAUGGAAAGACUCCAAGGGACUGCGACGACCGAGCAACUCUACCUUGAAUCCUUGCGAUCAACCUGCUAACUCUGCCCGAGUCUGAUAUCUCCAAUACCUGGUUCUGCACAAAAAUAUGCAGAAAUGUAGUAUGAGUACACCACAGUCGUUACCCAGCAAGUAUCAAGACUAACCUCGGUGGAGUAGUGACGAGGUACCGUAAAGACACUCACUAGUCAAAUAACUUGUGCAGUAUAGCAUACAAAAAUAAUAGAAAGACAAAUAGCAGUGAUAGCAACAAUAAUCAACUAUAUAUAAACAGCAAGGCAACAAGAACACCAUAAAUAUUACCCAAACGAAUAAUGGAGACAAGCACAACCAAUUAAUCAAGUCCUUCAAAAUAUACAUCUUUUAUCAACAAGUUUUUCGAAUAGAAAUCUUUAGAAUAUAAUCCUUUCAAAUAAAUAUCUUACGAAUAUAAUUCUUUCAAAUAUAUAUUGUUCGAAUAUAAUUCUUUCAAAUAAAUAUUGUUUGAAUAUAAUUCCUUCAAAUAAAUAUCUUUCGAAUAUAACUCUUUCAAAUAAAUAUCUUUCGAAUAUAAUUCUUCAAGCAAAUACCUUUCGAAUAUAAUUCUUCAAAUACAAUCUUUCAAAUAUAAUUCUUCAAAUAAACUCUUUCGAAUAUAAUCCUUUCAAAUAAAAUAUCUUUUGAAUGUAAUUAUUUUAAAUAAAACCUUUCGAAAAUAAUUCUUUCAAUUAAAAUCUUUCGAAUAAGAUCUUUCGAAUAUAAUUUAUUUCACGUAAAAAUCCUUCGGAUAUAAUACCUUCAAAUAAAAUCUUUCGAAUAUAAUUUCCUUCAAGUAAAAUCACCGGUUGACACCUCACUUCAUAAUCCUAAAAAUCUCGGCUCUCAGCCCACUUUUAUAUCUUACGGCACCUUGUGCCCAUAUUUCUAUCACAGUCAUACUCGCAAUUCACAAGACAAAAGACGUAAUAAUUUAAUGAAAUGACUGAGGAGUGAACGACGAAAAAUUUAUAGAGAAGUAACAGCACAACAAAUAGAGGUAAACAACAUGGGCGCUCCCGAAGUAUCGCCUCAUAGAACAAAAUGUAAAUGCUCACCAGGGAGAUCUCCCGAGGUACCGCCUCGUAGUCCCAAAAGUAAUAUGCAAGCAGGGGGAUCUCCCGAGGUACCACAUCGUAGUCUCAAAGUAAAUAUACAAGCAGUAGGAUCUCCCGAGGUACCGCCUCGUAGUCCCAAAGUAAAUAUACAAGCAGGGGGAUCUCCCGAGGUAACGCCUUGUAGUCCCAAAAUAAAUAUGCAAAAUCAAAGACGGAAGAAUAACCCAACAAGAACAACCUCUUCUUAAAUAUGCAAGCAGGGGGAUCUCCCGAGGUACACGGCUUUCACAUUAUACAAAUGGCACAUACGACUCAAUGCCUAAGGGGUAAUUCCCCCACUUAAGGUUAGGCAAGAUACUUACCUCUUUGAAGCUAGGCCGAUAUUCCAAAAUAGCCUUCUUGCUUGAAUUGACCUCCGCACAGCUCAAAUCUAUCCAAAUUAAUUGUAUAACUUCAUUAAAAUUCAUCGGAAAUAAUUCCGGAUAAUAUAACGUCGACUUAAAAUUUUACAUUAAAAAGUUAACUAAAAGUCAACGGGGGGCCUCGCCUCUCAGAACCCGAUAGAAUUUUCAUAAAAUCCGAACACCAAUUCCAUUACGAGUUCAACCAUACUAAUUUUAUCAAAUUCCGAUAACAACUCGACCUCUAAAUCUUAAAUAUUUUAUUUUUUGAAUGAUUUUGUAAAAAUCCCAAUUUCUUCCAUUAAAACUCGAAUUAAACGAUGAAUAUAACCAUGAAUUUAUGAAAUAUAAUCACUUUCGGAUGUAGAACACUUACCCUAGUCGAAGUCAGGAAUAAUUCCUUAAAAUCGCCCAAGAACCGAGCUCCCAAAAUCCCAAUCGAAAAUGAAGAAAUGAUCAUUUUUGGUCCUUAUGAUUCUGCCCGGUUUCCACUUCUGCGGACAAAUUUGCGCUUCUGCGAAGCCGCUUUUGCGAAACCACUUUUGCGAGUGUAGACUCGCUUCUACGAAAUUCCACUGACCAUAGGCACUCGCACCUGCAGAGUUCGCUUCGCUUCUACGCAAUCGCAGAAGCGAUGACCUAUUGCGCUUCGCCGAAGCUUCUCGCUUCUGCGCUCCAGGUACCGCAUCUGCGAUCACGCAGGUGCGGGAAAUUCUUCACACCUGCGACCUCUGUCCAACCCAUCCAUCAUCGCUUCUAUGAUGUAAAGUGUCUCUUCUGCGAUCCAACCUCCGCAGAAGCGAUUGCACCAACAAUCGAAAUUCCAGCAGCUCCAAUUGUCCAAAAAUCGUUCCGUUAAUCAUCCGAAAUCCACCCGAGGCCCUCGGGACCUUAACCAAAUAUUGGUACACAUCCCAAAAUACAAUACGAACUUAGUCGAGGCCUCAAAUCACAUUAAACAAUGUUGAAACUAUGAAUCACACCUCAAAUCGAAUUACGAGUUUUUAAAUCUUCCAACUUCUAUAAUUUGCGCCAAAACAUACCAAAUCAAUCCGGAAUGACCCCAAAUUUUGUACACGAGUCAUAAAUGACAUAAUGGACCUGUUCCUAUUUCCAAAGUCGAAUUUCGACCCCAAUAUCAAUAACGUCAACUCCCGGUCAAACUUUCUAAAAAUCUUCCUUUUUCUAACUUUCGCCAAAAAUGCGUCGAAUUGUCCUACGGACUUCCAAAUCCAAAUACGGACAUACGCCUAAGUCGAAAAUUACCAUACGAAGAUAUUGACAUGAUCAAAAUUCUAUUCCGGAGUCAUUUGCUCAAAAGUCAAACUCCGAUCAACUCAUUUCAUUUAAGCUUCAAAAAUAAUAAUUGUUCUUUCAUUUUAAUUCCAAAUCUUCCGAAAAUCAAACUCGACCACACACGCGGGUCAUAAUACAUAUUACGAAUUUUCUCGGGACCUUAUGUCGCUGAACGAAAUGUUAAUUCUCAAAAUGAUAAGUCGGGUCGUUACAGCCUUGAGUUGUAUAUUCUUUGUUGUGUGCUUCGAGCCGCAUAUUCUAUGUUGUGUGCUUCAAGUCGUGUAUUCUCUGUUACGUGCUUCAGGCUGCAUAUUCUUUGUCAUGCCUAUGUUGUACGUUCUUUGAAUACACCUAUGUUGUGUGUUCAUUUUUACACAUACCCAAUUUGUAUAUGCUUUCACAGAUGCCCAUGUUGUAUAUUCUUUGUGACAUGCUUAUGGUGCUUCCUUAUUGAAUUGUAAUCAUUUUUCUUGUCGACUCUUGGUCAUGAAUAAUCAUACACAAGUAAUGUGAUGGUUGUAUUUUCACCCCUCCGAACCUUCUUUCAAAACUAUCUAGUUUCUAAGAUUGGCAUACGAGGUUAACUACAUACCAUCUCGCAGUUGUCCUUAACUCAUGUCCGAAUCUAGGUAAAUCUACUUUUAGAAUUCCUAGGUCACUGUGCACAUAAUCUUGCAGCUUGCUUUAGCUCAAUUUUUAUUGUUACAUAUCCUUUACUUGUUAUAUAUUCUUUGUAUGUUACUUAUUGUCACAACCCAAAAUCCACUAUAGGUUGUGAUGGCGCCUAACACCGCCGUAGGGCAAGCCAACAGUGAUUUAUCAAUUUAAUUACUCAUUUUACCUCUUUCGAAAUCAUAGAUUUUAAUAAGGAAAGAGAUUUACACUUCUAAAUCUACGGGAACGUACAACAUUUGUAGUUUAUAAAAGAAAUGAAAGACUAUAAUAAUAUACAAAACCGUAAGCAUCAACUAGUAUAACCCCAAAAUCCGGUGCAACAAGUGCAUAAGCAUUCUUCUAAGGAGUACAAUAAUAAUACGACAUCUGUCCAGAAUGUAAUUAAGACAGGAUAAAAUAAAUAGUACGAUAGAGACUCGGUGGACUGUGAUGCGUAGCAUGGAAUGAAGCUCACAUAAAGUCCCCUCAACAGGUGCGCCUACGCGCCAAGAUGAUCGCCAAAUGAGCCUGUCAGAUCCUGCACAUUUAGUGCAGAAGUGCAGCAUGAGUACGUAAAUCAACGCGUACCCAGUAAGUUUCUAGUCUAACCCCGGAGAAGUAGUGACAAGGGGUCGACAUUGUCACUUACUAGAGGUACAGUAAAGCAAUAUAAUAAAUCAUAAGCAUAUAUGAAGCGCACAACAAUAAUGAGGUAAAUCUAUAAGUUACAUAAUCAUCCAAAUAUUUCUUUUAAAGCAUGAAGUUCUCAAUCUUGUAUUAUACAUUAACAGCUCAGAAAAACAUCAAAUGUCAAUAUCAAUGCAUAAGGGAUACCAUAUAAAAUGCCAGGCAUCAGUGGAAAGAAAAUCUCGUGAAUGUUCGGACUACCAACGAUAUAACGCACGAUUAUGCCGAGGUCGUUCUGCCUGAUCCAGAAUAAUGUGUACACUGCUGAGGGUCGUGCGGCAUGAAUCAUAGAUGCAUCUAUUAUACUACCGAGGCAUUCGGCCCACUCCGGAAGAAAAGGAAGGAAGUUAUCAAAUCAUGAGACACGUGCUUACAAUACAGUGCAUGAUUACAAGGUGACUAUAAUCCUUUACCGUUUCUCAAAUAACUAGCCAACAACUCAAGGUGAUAAGGCUCGGCCUAACAUAUAUGCAUGUAUUUCUUAAUCAAUUCAAUUAUAAUUUUAAUUAAUUAAGCCAGCAGGAUGUAUUUAAGUAUUUCAAAUAUUACAUGGUAAAGUCCUAAGUCUACCCCGACAUAAACAUGCUUUAGCUACGUACGAACUCUCAUCACCUCCUACGUACAUAGAACCCACAACUAUUAGCACAUAACAAUUACAUCACCUAGGGGGUAGCUUUCCCCUCACAAAGUUAGACAUGAAACUUACCUCGCUCCGAAACUCCAUAACCGGCUCCAAUGCCUCUCUAACACCUCAACUCAAAGCCAAACGUCCCGAAACUAGUCAAACAGUGUAUAAAUCAAUCAAAAUAUACUCCAAUGUUUACAAUUUAACAAUUUAUAAUGAUUCCCAACUCCGCUCGAAAAGUCAACCCUCAGUCCUACGUGCCCGGAUUCUAAAUAUUUUCGAAGAUAAACUUUACCCAUAAUGCCACAAACUCGAAUAUAUAAUUUAUUCCUAAUUCCAUUUCCAAAACCAUGGUGAAAAUCCAAAACUAUCAAUUCUAGGUCUUCCUCUUUAAAUCCCAAAAUGUUCCAUAAAUUUCCAUGUAGAAAUCCGUAUAUAAUCCAAGUAUUUCACUAAAAUUGUGUGGGAAUUACUUACCUUGCAAUGGUUGAUGAAAAUAUCAACCUGAAGCUCUCCAAAAAUCGGCCAAACCAAGAGAGAAUGAAAGAAAAUGGGCCAAAUCCCGUAUAAAACCAAGUCUGGCCAGCGCCGCCUCGCACCUACGGAACAGUAGCCGCUUCUGCGGCUCCGCACCUGCUGAAAUUCCCAUCGUAAGUGCGGUUCCCACUAUGCCCAGCCAGGUCCGCAUUUGUGGACACAAAUCCGCUCCUGCGGUCUCGCUUCUGCGGAGCACUGACCGCUCCUGCAGUCCAGCAUCAAAGGCCCAGAUUCUGCAUCUGCACUGCCUCUUCCGCUUCUGCGGAUGCGCAUCUGCGCGCCCAAACUCCACACCUAUGGCCCUUCACCUAGCUGGUCUCUUUCGCUUCUGCGACAACCUUCAUCGAGCAUACGUGUCCGCACAUGUGACCAAACCACCGCAGGUGCGAUGACACCAUAUUUCAGCAGUUCCAGCUUUUCUUCAAAUCCAAAUUUCAAUCCAAUUUCAAUCCGUUUCUAACCCGAGGCCCCCGGGACCCCAUACGAACAUACCAACACAUCCCAAAUCACAUUACAAACUUAGUUGAGGCCUCAAAUCACGCCAAAUGACAUCGAAAUUAUGAAUCCACGAUCGAAAUCCUUCUUUAAACUUUCAAACUUCGACGAACGCGUCCGAACCAUAACAAGACAUUCCGGAAUGAUGCAAAACUUUGCGUGCAAGUGACAAACCAUGAUAGGAACCUAUUCCAAGGCUCAGAACCCCAAAUGGACAUCGAUAACAUCAAAAUCCACUUCAAACCAAACUUAUGAAAUUCUAAAACUUUCAAAAAUGCCAACUUUCUACAAUAGGCACUGAAAUGCUCCCGGAUCACCCGAUACUCAACCUCAACAUACGCCCAAGGCCAAAAUCAUCAUACGAACCUAUUGGAACCUUCAAAUCCUGAUUCUGAGGUCGUUUACUCUAAAGUUAAACCUUAGUCAAUUCUUCCAACUUAAAGCUUACGAAAUUAGAAAUUCUCAUCUGAAUUAUCGCUGAACUUCCCGAAAUUAAAUUAUGACCACACGUACAAGUCAUAAAAUAUGAAGUGAAGCUACCCAAGGCAUAAAACCGCCGAACGAUGCGCUAGAGCUCAAAAUGACCGGUCGGGCCGUUACAUUUAUUCUUUGUUUGUUAUAUAUUCUUCAUCUGCCAUUGCAAUGUACUCUUUAUAUGUUACAUGUACCUUUCAUCUGUUAUCCAAUAUUAGGUUCUCUUUGUUUGACUAAACUCUGGUCAAUUUGUGUUGAACUUUGGAUUUCUCAAAUACACAUGCCCAUUCUGGUCUUCGUGACUAUCUCCAUAAUCAUACCAUCAUUUGGACUCUACCAUCAUUUUCGAAAAUACGUCAAUCUAGCUUGAUACAUCCUCCACUGAUUUGACGUAUUCUUCCCAAUCAUACCUCACACUUUCACAGAUUUUUGUUAUUUGAGAUAGAUCAAUGCGCUGUGCUACCAUCUAUCUCUUAUUCAACAGUUACCAGUCUCCACCCACCCACCCAAGGAUUUUUAUUCAUCACAUUCUUCUCAAAGAAUAAUCACCUGCUCAUGACAACCAUACGGAUCCCAUAUAAUUUAACUAGUUGGCCCUGACUACAUUUUGACAUGAUUCCUGCCCUGGAAAGAUACAUAGGCAACCCUACAUAAGGUUUUGGUCUCCGUACUGUUUCAAAUUAAUUUUCUCAAUACGGAAAACUGGGGCAAUUCUUUUGGAAUAGUGCGAUGAUGCUCUCGACCAAAUUUCAUCCAAAAUCCAAACGUCAAAAUACCGUGCCAACCUUACUCUGAUCCUCACUCGACUUAAAUACCAACAUAUAGGAUAUGAGUCCUUUAUUCAAACAUCUAGCUAUUGAAUCAUGGUGUUCACUCCCACUUUCCAUAUUCAGAGAUUCGAUAUAGGUCAACCCACUUUUAAUGCAAGGGCAGGUUGUUAGACAACCUUCUAGAAGUGUCAUGCUCUCACAACUCGGAGAGACAAGGAAUGACAAACAAAGCCUCAAGUCAACAUGAAUCAACUUCUCUCCCUCGAACUAAGAAAUUUUCUUUAGAUGCAGGAGGGAAAACAUCAUCUGCAGAACAAUUAUGGAAUGCCAACAUCGCGUUCCCGAUCAUAAUCAGAUAUACCAUUGGAUGCACGUCCUAACUCUGCACCCUCUUAGUUUUAUAACUGCACCUAAGAGGGACUCUAACAUUUUCUCCUGUGAGUUUUGUAGGUAUGUCAUCUCUAGCACUUUAUGGGGGAUUACAACUAGACUUGGACUUAGUGGAGCAUCAGUCAAAUAAUCAGGGGAAUCAGAACAUCGUUCCCGGUUGUCAACCGGGGACGACCAUCAAAUGGUUCUUGUGGACAGCCAAAAUAUGCAUCAUCCUAGGAACUUCACGGGAGAUAACCUCCACCAUUGGACACUUUGGAGCAUCAAUCAGAUAAUCAGGGGUGUAGUAGUUUUAUAAUGAAUUCCAUCAUUUUUCAUGACUUCAAUGCUCUCACCUCUUUUUCUAUAUUUAGAUCAGAGUUUUGUUCCCGAUUAUCAACCAAGGACGAUCAUCAAAUAGUUCUUGUGGACAACCGAAAGAUGCAUCAUCCUAGGACUGCAUGGGAAAUAGCAUCCGAGAUUGGACAUUGUGGAACAUCAACCUAACAAUCCGAGGAGUGUUAGUUAUAAUUCUUGAUUCCAUCAUUUUUAUGACGACAUUACUCUCAAAAUAUUUCUAUAUCGUGAUCAGAUAAUUGCCCCAGCUAAUAGCCGGGGACGAUCACCAAAAGAUUCUUGUGGACAGCUAGAAGGUCGAAAAAAAAUAUCCACGUAGUCAAUUGGGAGACAACUACGACAACUGGCUUGUAAACAGUUAGGGGCAUCGAGGCAAUUGUUCGAAGGAGCAGCUGGGGCACAUAUUUUUGACGGAGUUAAUCUUCAACUAUAGAGAUACCACACCCAAUCAUGGGUACACCGAGGCAUCACUCCGAGUUUAUCUAAGCCCUUGCAUUUUAUACAUAUCUUUGAUACAAUUAAUAGAAUUAGUUGCAAUCCUUCAAAAAUAGGAGAGUAAAAGAAGUGUUGAAAAACAUACACCUCACACUAUCCACCCUUCACGAACUACGCACACUUGAUUCUUGACCUCUUGUCAAGAUACGUAGGCAACCUGUAAUAGGUCCGGUUUUUCUCGUCCUUAACCUGACGAAUCGGUCAAGUCUGACUACUUGGGUCACAGUUGACCGAAGAUCUUUGCGAAAAGAUCAUUUCCAAAAGUCAAAAGAAUAAAAAACUAAUAAAUAAACACAUAUAUAUCUUCCUCUGUUCCUUCUUUAGAAGUCUCUCCGUGAGAUAUCAACAACAAAAUCCAAAAAUAUCAUCCUCUUUCCUUGAGGAAAUUAAAAAUCUAAAACAACUCCCUUUUAUCUCUAACCUUCUCGAAUUACGCCUAACCCGAUUCUCAUUUCAACGAGAUACAUAGGCAACAUUUAUGUUCGGUCUCAUUUUUCAAGAAAUCAAAAAAAAAAUCAAUCAAGGACCCUUCCUAAGUUCGAUCUCAUCGUUCAAAAACUCAAAAAAGACUCCCAUCGUGCAGAGAUUUUCAAUUCUUGUCUCCUCCGUCGCGUGGAGAUUUUAUAUUUCAGUCACUCCAAUCAUGUAGAGACUUUCAAUUCCUGUCUCUCACAUCACGUGUAGAUUUUACAUUUCUGUCAGUGCUCCGAUAUCAUGUCAGAAUGGUACACAGACCGUCAAAGCUCCGAUAUCAUAUUAGAAUGUUAGACAGCUCAUGAAAUUACAUUCCUGUCAAUGCUCCGAUAUUGCAUCAGAACGGUACACAGUCCAUUAAAACUCCGAUAUCGCAUCGAAACGGUACACAUCCCGUCAAAUUUUACAUUCCUGUCAAUGCUCCAAUAUCGCAUCGGAAUAGUACAUAGUCGGACAAAGCUCCGAUAUUGCAUUGGAACGGUACACAACUUGUCAAAUUUUACAUUCCUGUCAAUUCUAUGAUAUCGCGUUGUAACGGUACACAGCUUGUCAAAUUUUACAUUCAUGUCAAUGCUCCGAUAUCACUUCGGAACGAUACACAACGUGUCAAAGCUCUAAUAUCGCAUCAGAACGGUACACAACCCGUCAAAUUUUACCUUCCUGUCAAUGCUCUGAUAUUGCAUCGAAACGGUACACAACCCGUCAAAGCUCCGAUAUCGCAUCAAAACGAUACGCAACCCGUCAAGUGUUACAUUCCUGUCAAUGCUUCGAUAUCGCUUCAGAACGGUAACAAAGCCCGUCUAACAUGCAAUGCUCUGAUAUCGCUUUGGAACGGUAACAAAGCCUGUCUAACCUUCAAUGCUUUCGAUAUCGCUUCGGAAUGGUAACUACAAAGCCCAUCUAACAUUCAACGCUUUGAUAAAAAAAUUUAAAAUGUAAUGACCCAGGCCUGUCGUUUUGAGUGUACUAGCCCUGAUCCCCUAUUUAUUGCCUCCUAUGUAUUAUAUUGUAGUUAUGUGACUCACCGGGGUGUUUGGUUUUGGUUUUGAGUGAGUUUCAGAGUUAAAUGGGACACAUAGUCCGUAAGUUGGAAGGUUAAGUCGUAGGAGUUGACCGUAGUUUGACUUAUGUGAAUACGACUCCAAAAUAGAGUUUUGAUGGUUCCAAUAGCUCCGUAUGGUGAUUUUGGUCAUUGGAGCGUGUACGGAUGUUUAUUUGGAGGUUCGUAGGUUGUUUCAGCGUAGUUUGGCGAAGGUUGGAAGAUUUUGGAAAAUUUGACCGGGAGUG
rnacentral:lncRNA from 1 species